rnacentral:misc_RNA from 1 species
UUGGCAGUUAGACAUUGCUGCUGGGCAAAUGCCAUAGCUGGGGCUGCUGCUGUUGCAUAAUCAUGAGCUUGUCGGUCCAUCAACGUAAUAUGAUAUCCAACUGGAAUGCUAUUAGAAGAAGAUAUCCUAUUGCUGUGCUUCAGUUUUGUUGAACAGCCAAUUGAUUCGAGUGGUGGAGCAAAUGACUAGUUAAAGAAGCACCGAUUAAUUAAGUGCUGAGUCCAUUGAAAGUUGAAAAGCCAUGCUUCCUCCGAAACAAGACGAAGGAACUCGCUC